AUUAUGUAUAAAUUAAUUGUGCCAGCAAUAGCGGUUAAACGUUAUAUAAAAAGUAAUAAUUAAUUAUAAUAAUUAUUUAAAUUAUUAAUUUAUAUAAAAUAUUUAUAAUAUUUAUAUAUAUAUAUAUAUAUAUAUUAUUUAUGUUUAUUUAUAUAAAUUAUUUAAUUAUUAUAUUAUAUAAAUAUAUAUAUUUAAAGUAUGGUAAAAUAAUUUUAAUAAAAUUAUUAUAUUUAUAUUUUUAAUUUAUUUAAAAAUUUAAAAAAUAAAAUAGGAUUAGAUACCCUAGUAUUUAAUAUUAAUAUUUAAACAAUAAAAUUAUUAAAUUUUUUUUUAAUAAAAUUUUAAAAUUAAAUAACUUGGCAGUAAUUAUUUUAAAUUAGAGGAACUUAUUUUUAAUUGAUAAUCAACAAAAAGAUUUACUUAAUUUUAUUAUAUUUAUAUAUUUUUGUUUAAUAUUUAUUUAAAAAUUUAUUUUUAUAAUAUAUAUAUAUAUAUAUAUAAAUUCAGAUCAAUAUGUAGUUUAUUUUUAAGAAAAAUUGAGUUACAUAUAUAUAUUAAUUUUAGAUAAAUAUUUUUAAUAAAUAUUUAAAAAUAGAAUUUAAAUGUAAAUUUAAAUAAUUAUUUAAAUUGAUUAUUUAAUUUAAUUAUGUACAAAUUGCCCGUCAAUUUUAAUUUAAAUUUAAAAUAAGUCGUAACAUAGUAAAUGUAUUGGAAAAUGUAUUUAGUUAAAUUAUUUAUAUAUAUAUAUAUAUAUAUAUAUAUAUAUAUAUAUAUAUAUAUAU
rnacentral:rRNA from 1 species